rnacentral:rRNA from 1 species
GGGGGAUAUUGCGCAAUGGGGGCAACCCUGACGCAGCAACGCCGCGUGAAGGAUGAAGGUUUUCGGAUUGUAAACUUCUUUUAUUAAGGACGAAACUUGACGGUACUUAAUGAAUAAGCUCCGGCUAACUACGUGCCAGCAGCCGCGGUAAUACGUAGGGAGCAAGCGUUGUCCGGAUUUACUGGGUGUAAAGGGUGCGUAGGCGGCUUUGCAAGUCAGAUGUGAAAUCUAUGGGCUCAACCCAUAAACUGCAUUUGAAACUGUAGAGCUUGAGUGAAGUAGAGGUAAGCGGAAUUCCUAGUGUAGCGGUGAAAUGCGUAGAUAUUAGGAGGAACAUCAGUGGCGAAGGCGGCUUACUGGGCUUUAACUGACGCUGAGGCUCGAAAGCGUGGGGAGCAAACAGGAUUAGAUACCCUGGUAGUCCACGCCGUAAACGAUGAUUACUAGGUGUGGGGGGACUGACCCCUUCCGUGCCGCAGCAAACGCAAUAAGUAAUCCACCUGGGGAGUACGACCGCAAGGUUGAAACUCAAAGGAAUUGACGGGGGCCCGCACAAGCAGUGGAGUAUGUGGAUUAAUUCGAAGCAACGCGAAGAACCUUACCAGGUCUUGACAUCGUAUGCAUACCUCAGAGAUGAGUGAAAUCUCUUCGGAGACAUAUAGACAGGUGGUGCAUGGUUGUCGUCAGCUCGUGUCGUGAGAUGUUGGGUUAAGUCCCGCAACGAGCGCAACCCUUACUGUUAGUUGCUACGCAAGAGCACUCUAGCAGGACUGCCGUUGACAAAACGGAGGAAGGUGGGGAUGACGUCAAAUCAUCAUGCCCCUUAUGAUUUGGGCUACACACGUGCUACAAUGGCGUAAACAAAGGGAAGCGAGAUUGUGAGAUGGAGCAAAUCCCAAAAAUAACGUCCCAGUUCGGACUGUAGUCUGCAACCCGACUACACGAAGCUGGAAUCGCUAGUAAUCGCGGAUCAGAAUGCCGCGGUGAAUACGUUCCCG